rnacentral:tRNA from 1 species
GCGGGCAUGGUAUAGUGGUUCGUGCCUCAGCCUUCCAAGCUGAUGACGCGGGUUCGAUUCCCGCUGCCCGCUCCA